AUUGAACGCUGGCCGCCGGCCUAACACAUGCAAGUCGAACGAGUGGCGGACGGGUGAGUCCUGCCUGGGAAACUGCCCGAUGGAGGGGGCUCACUACUGGAAACGGUAGCUAAUACCGCAUACCAUCGGAUGUGCCCAGAUGGUAUUAGCUAGUAGGUGGGGUAACGGCUCACCUGGGCGACGAUCCCUAGCUGGGCUGAGAGGAUGACACGCAAAACUGGAACUGAGACAAGGGGAAGAAGACUAAGGGAGGCAGCAGGGGGGAAUAUUGCACAAUGGGCGCAAGCAUGAUGCAGCCAUGCCGCGUGGAUGAAGAAGGGCGUAGGGUUGGAAAGGACUUUCAGCGAGGAGGCGUUACUCGCAGAAGAAGCACCGGCUAACUCCGUGCCAGCCGCCGCGGUAAUAC
rnacentral:rRNA from 1 species